CCGACUUUAGCUCAGUUGGCAGAGCGGAGGACUGUAAUGUGUUGCAGAUAUCCUUAGGUCGCUAGUUCGAAUCUGGCAAGUUGGA
rfam:Selaginella moellendorffii unplaced genomic scaffold SELMOscaffold_90, whole genome shotgun sequence.